CGGGGGGGGCAAGCGUUGUUCGGAAUUACUGGGCGUAAAGGGCUCGUAGGCGGCCAACUAAGUCCGACGUGAAAUCCCCAGGCUCAACCUGGGAACUGCGUCGGAUACUGGAUGGCUUGAAUUCGGGAGAGGGAUGCAGAAUUCCAGGUGUAGCGGUGAAAUGCGUAGAUAUCUGGAGGAAUACCGGUGGCGAAGGCGGCAUCCUGGACCGACAUUGACGCCGAUGAGCGAAAGCUAGGGGAGCAAACGGGAUUAGAUACCCCGGUAGUCCUAGCCCUAAACGAUGAAUGCUUGGUGUGGCGGGUAUCGAUCCCUGCCGUGCCGAAGCUAACGCAUUAAGCAUUCCGCCUGGGGAGUACGGUCGCAAGGCUG
rnacentral:rRNA from 1 species